rnacentral:rRNA from 1 species
CCUGCGGAGGAUCAUUAUCAAAACAGCGGACUUCGGUCCUUGCUGCACCCUUGUCUUUUGCGUACCGUAUGUUUCCUCGGCGGGCUUGCCUGCCGGUUGGACAAUAUCAAACCUUUUUGUAGUUGCAAUCAGCGUCAGAAAACAAAUAAUAAUUACAACUUUCAACAACGGAUCUCUUGGUUCUGGCAUCGAUGAAGAACGCAGCGAAAUGCGAAAAGUAGUGUGAAUUGCAGAAUUCAGUGAAUCAUCGAAUCUUUGAACGCACAUUGCGCCCCUUGGUAUUCCAUGGGGCAUGCCUGUUCGAGCGUCAUUUUGUACCCUCAAGCACUGCUUGGUGUUGGGCGUUUGUCCUGCAAAGGACUCGCCUGAAAGCGAUUGGCGGCCAACGUACUGGUGGUAGAGCGCAGCACAAUUUGCGUCUCUCCCUUCUACGUCGGCGUCCAUGAAGCCUUAUUCAAACGUUUGACCUCGGAUCAGGUAGGGAUACCCGCUGAACUUAAGCAUAUCAAUAAGCGGAGGAA